rnacentral:rRNA from 1 species
GGGUUGUGAGGUUAAGCGACUAAGCGUACACGGUGGAUGCCCUGGCAGUCAGAGGCGAUGAAGGACGUGCUAAUCUGCGAUAAGCGUCGGUAAGGUGAUAUGAACCGUUAUAACCGGCGAUUUCCGAAUGGGGAAACCCAGUGUGUUUCGACACACUAUCAUUAACUGAAUCCAUAGGUUAAUGAGGCGAACCGGGGGAACUGAAACAUCUAAGUACCCCGAGGAAAAGAAAUCAACCGAGAUUCCCCCAGUAGCGGCGAGCGAACGGGGAGGAGCCCAGAGUCUGAAUCAGUGUGUGUGUUAGUGGAAGCGUCUGGAAAGGCGCGCGAUACAGGGUGACAGCCCCGUACACAAAAAUGCACAUGCUGUGAGCUCGAUGAGUAGGGCGGGACACGUGGUAUCCUGUCUGAAUAUGGGGGGACCAUCCUCCAAGGCUAAAUACUCCUGACUGACCGAUAGUGAACCAGUACCGUGAGGGAAAGGCGAAAAGAACCCCGGCGAGGGGAGUGAAAAAGAACCUGAAACCGUGUACGUACAAGCAGUGGGAGCACGCUUAGGCGUGUGACUGCGUACCUUUUGUAUAAUGGGUCAGCGACUUAUAUUCUGUAGCAAGGUUAACCGAAUAGGGGAGCCGAAGGGAAACCGAGUCUUAACUGGGCGUUAAGUUGCAGGGUAUAGACCCGAAACCCGGUGAUCUAGCCAUGGGCAGGUUGAAGGUUGGGUAACACUAACUGGAGGACCGAACCGACUAAUGUUGAAAAAUUAGCGGAUGACUUGUGGCUGGGGGUGAAAGGCCAAUCAAACCGGGAGAUAGCUGGUUCUCCCCGAAAGCUAUUUAGGUAGCGCCUCGUGAAUUCAUCUCCGGGGGUAGAGCACUGUUUCGGCAAGGGGGUCAUCCCGACUUACCAACCCGAUGCAAACUGCGAAUACCGGAGAAUGUUAUCACGGGAGACACACGGCGGGUGCUAACGUCCGUCGUGAAGAGGGAAACAACCCAGACCGCCAGCUAAGGUCCCAAAGUCAUGGUUAAGUGGGAAACGAUGUGGGAAGGCCCAGACAGCCAGGAUGUUGGCUUAGAAGCAGCCAUCAUUUAAAGAAAGCGUAAUAGCUCACUGGUCGAGUCGGCCUGCGCGGAAGAUGUAACGGGGCUAAACCAUGCACCGAAGCUGCGGCAGCGACACUAUGUGUUGUUGGGUAGGGGAGCGUUCUGUAAGCCUGUGAAGGUGUGCUGUGAGGCAUGCUGGAGGUAUCAGAAGUGCGAAUGCUGACAUAAGUAACGAUAAAGCGGGUGAAAAGCCCGCUCGCCGGAAGACCAAGGGUUCCUGUCCAACGUUAAUCGGGGCAGGGUGAGUCGACCCCUAAGGCGAGGCCGAAAGGCGUAGUCGAUGGGAAACAGGUUAAUAUUCCUGUACUUGGUGUUACUGCGAAGGGGGGACGGAGAAGGCUAUGUUGGCCGGGCGACGGUUGUCCCGGUUUAAGCGUGUAGGCUGGUUUUCCAGGCAAAUCCGGAAAAUCAAGGCUGAGGCGUGAUGACGAGGCACUACGGUGCUGAAGCAACAAAUGCCCUGCUUCCAGGAAAAGCCUCUAAGCAUCAGGUAACAUCAAAUCGUACCCCAAACCGACACAGGUGGUCAGGUAGAGAAUACCAAGGCGCUUGAGAGAACUCGGGUGAAGGAACUAGGCAAAAUGGUGCCGUAACUUCGGGAGAAGGCACGCUGAUAUGUAGGUGAAGUCCCUUGCGGAUGGAGCUGAAAUCAGUCGAAGAUACCAGCUGGCUGCAACUGUUUAUUAAAAACACAGCACUGUGCAAACACGAAAGUGGACGUAUACGGUGUGACGCCUGCCCGGUGCCGGAAGGUUAAUUGAUGGGGUCAGCGCAAGCGAAGCUCUUGAUCGAAGCCCCGGUAAACGGCGGCCGUAACUAUAACGGUCCUAAGGUAGCGAAAUUCCUUGUCGGGUAAGUUCCGACCUGCACGAAUGGCGUAAUGAUGGCCAGGCUGUCUCCACCCGAGACUCAGUGAAAUUGAACUCGCUGUGAAGAUGCAGUGUACCCGCGGCAAGACGGAAAGACCCCGUGAACCUUUACUAUAGCUUGACACUGAACAUUGAGCCUUGAUGUGUAGGAUAGGUGGGAGGCUUGGAAGUGUGGACGCCAGUCUGCAUGGAGCCGACCUUGAAAUACCACCCUUUAAUGUUUGAUGUUCUAACGUUGACCCGUAAUCCGGGUUGCGGACAGUGUCUGGUGGGUAGUUUGACUGGGGCGGUCUCCUCCUAAAGAGUAACGGAGGAGCACGAAGGUUGGCUAAUCCUGGUCGGACAUCAGGAGGUUAGUGCAAUGGCAUAAGCCAGCUUGACUGCGAGCGUGACGGCGCGAGCAGGUGCGAAAGCAGGUCAUAGUGAUCCGGUGGUUCUGAAUGGAAGGGCCAUCGCUCAACGGAUAAAAGGUACUCCGGGGAUAACAGGCUGAUACCGCCCAAGAGUUCAUAUCGACGGCGGUGUUUGGCACCUCGAUGUCGGCUCAUCACAUCCUGGGGCUGAAGUAGGUCCCAAGGGUAUGGCUGUUCGCCAUUUAAAGUGGUACGCGAGCUGGGUUUAGAACGUCGUGAGACAGUUCGGUCCCUAUCUGCCGUGGGCGCUGGAGAACUGAGGGGGGCUGCUCCUAGUACGAGAGGACCGGAGUGGACGCAUCACUGGUGUUCGGGUUGUCAUGCCAAUGGCACUGCCCGGUAGCUAAAUGCGGAAGAGAUAAGUGCUGAAAGCAUCUAAGCACGAAACUUGCCCCGAGAUGAGUUCUCCCUGACCCUUUAAGGGUCCUGAAGGAACGUUGAAGACGACGACGUUGAUAGGCCGGGUGUGUAAGCGCAGCGAUGCGUUGAGCUAACCGGUACUAAUGAACCGUGAGGCUUAACCUUACAACGCCGAAG